rnacentral:rRNA from 1 species
GAGGGAAACCGAGUCUUAAUUGGGCGUUAAGUUGCAGGGUAUAGACCCGAAACCCGGUGAUCUAGCCAUGGGCAGGUUGAAGGUUGGGUAACACUAACUGGAGGACCGAACCGACUAAUGUUGAAAAAUUAGCGGAUGACCUGUGGCUGGGGGUGAAAGGCCAAUCAAACCGGGAGAUAGCUGGUUCUCCCCGAAAGCUAUUUAGGUAGCGCCUCGUGAAUUCAUCUCCGGGGGUAGAGCACUGUUUCGGCUAGGGGGCCAUCCCGGCUUACCAACCCGAUGCAAACUGCGAAUACCGGAGAAUGUUAUCACGGGAGACACACGGCGGGUGCUAACGUCCGUCGUGAAGAGGGAAACAACCCAGACCGCCAGCUAAGGUCCCAAAGUCAUGGUUAAGUGGGAAACGAUGUGGGAAGGCCCAGACAGCCAGGAUGUUGGCUUAGAAGCAGCCAUCAUUUAAAGAAAGCGUAAUAGCUCACUGGUCGAGUCGGCCUGCGCGGAAGAUGUAACGGGGCUAAACCAUGCACCGAAGCUGCGGCAGCGAACGUAUCACCCAAGACAACUUUACGGAGUUGACGAUUGACGGAGCGAAGCGACGUCAAAGCGUUCAUUAAAGUCGAGUUGGCUUAGGGAUACGUUCGUUGGGUAGGGGAGCGUUCUGUAAGCCUGUGAAGGUGUGUCGUGAGGCAUGCUGGAGGUAUCAGAAGUGCGAAUGCUGACAUAAGUAACGAUAAAGCGGGUGAAAAGCCCGCUCGCCGGAAGACCAAGGGUUCCUGUCCAACGUUAAUCGGGGCAGGGUGAGUCGACCCCUAAGGCGAGGCCGAAAGGCGUAGUCGAUGGGAAACGGGUUAAUAUUCCCGUACUUGGUGUUACUGCGAAGGGGGGACGGAGAAGGCUAUGUUGGCCGGGCGACGGUUGUCCCGGUUUAAGCGUGUAGGUGUGUGUUCCAGGUAAAUCCGGUUCACUUUAACACUGAGGCGUGACGACGAGGCACUACGGUGCUGAAGCAACAAAUGCCCUGCUUCCAGGAAAAGCCUCUAAGCAUCAGGUAACACGAAAUCGUACCCCAAACCGACACAGGUGGUCAGGUAGAGAAUACCAAGGCGCUUGAGAGAACUCGGGUGAAGGAACUAGGCAAAAUGGUGCCGUAACUUCGGGAGAAGGCACGCUGACACGUAGGUGAAGUGAUUUACUCAUGGAGCUGAAGUCAGUCGAAGAUACCAGCUGGCUGCAACUGUUUAUUAAAAACACAGCACUGUGCAAACACGAAAGUGGACGUAUACGGUGUGACGCCUGCCCGGUGCCGGAAGGUUAAUUGAUGGGGUCAGCGUAAGCGAAGCUCCUGAUCGAAGCCCCGGUAAACGGCGGCCGUAACUAUAACGGUCCUAAGGUAGCGAAAUUCCUUGUCGGGUAAGUUCCGACCUGCACGAAUGGCGUAAUGAUGGCCAGGCUGUCUCCACCCGAGACUCAGUGAAAUUGAACUCGCUGUGAAGAUGCAGUGUACCCGCGGCAAGACGGAAAGACCCCGUGAACCUUUACUAUAGCUUGACACUGAACAUUGAGCCUUGAUGUGUAGGAUAGGUGGGAGGCUUUGAAGUGUGGACGCCAGUCUGCAUGGAGCCGACCUUGAAAUACCACCCUUUAAUGUUUGAUGUUCUAACGUGGACCCGUAAUCCGGGUUGCGGACAGUGUCUGGUGGGUAGUUUGACUGGGGCGGUCUCCUCCUAAAGAGUAACGGAGGAGCACGAAGGUUGGCUAAUCCUGGUCGGACAUCAGGAGGUUAGUGCAAUGGCAUAAGCCAGCUUGACUGCGAGCGUGACGGCGCGAGCAGGUGCGAAAGCAGGUCAUAGUGAUCCGGUGGUUCUGAAUGGAAGGGCCAUCGCUCAACGGAUAAAAGGUACUCCGGGGAUAACAGGCUGAUACCGCCCAAGAGUUCAUAUCGACGGCGGUGUUUGGCACCUCGAUGUCGGCUCAUCACAUCCUGGGGCUGAAGUAGGUCCCAAGGGUAUGGCUGUUCGCCAUUUAAAGUGGUACGCGAGCUGGGUUUAGAACGUCGUGAGACAGUUCGGUCCCUAUCUGCCGUGGGCGCUGGAGAACUGAGGGGGGCUGCUCCUAGUACGAGAGGACCGGAGUGGACGCAUCACUGGUGUUCGGGUUGUCAUGCCAAUGGCACUGCCCGGUAGCUAAAUGCGGAAGAGAUAAGUGCUGAAAGCAUCUAAGCACGAAACUUGCCCCGAGAUGAGUUCUCCCUGAGACUUAGAGUCUCCUGAAGGAACGUUGAAGACGACGACGUUGAUAGGCCGGGUGUGUAAGCGCAGCGAUGCGUUGAGCUAACCGGUACUAAUGAACCGUGAGGCUUAACCUUACA